AUGGGCGACUGCCUAAUAAUGCAAGUCGAGCGGAGUUGAUAGGAAGCUUGCUUCCUUGAUGCUUAGCGGCGGACGGGUGAGUAACACGUAGGCAACCUGCCCUCAAGCUUGGGACAACUACCGGAAACGGUAGCUAAUACCGAAUACUUGUUUUCUUCGCCUGAAGGGAACUGGAAAGACGGAGCAAUCUGUCACUUGAGGAUGGGCCUGCGGCGCAUUAGCUAGUUGGUGAGGUAACGGCUCACCAAGGCGACGAUGCGUAGCCGACCUGAGAGGGUGAUCGGCCACACUGGGACUGAGACACGGCCCAGACUCCUACGGGAGGCAGCAGUAGGGAAUCUUCCGCAAUGGGCGAAAGCCUGACGGAGCAAUGCCGCGUGAGUGAUGAAGGUUUUCGGAUCGUAAAGCUCUGUUGCCAGGGAAGAACGCUUGGGAGAGUAACUGCUCUCAGAGUGACGGUACCUGAGAAGAAAGCCCCGGCUAACUACGUGCCAGCAGCCGCGGUAAUACGUAGGGGGCAAGCGUUGUCCGGAAUUAUUGGGCGUAAAGCGCGCGCAGGCGGUCAUUUAAGUCUGGUGUUUAAUCACGGGGCUCAACCCCGGAUCGCACUGGAAACUGGGUGACUUGAGUGCAGAAGAGGAGAGUGGAAUUCCACGUGUAGCGUAAAUGGCCGGGUAAACGA
rnacentral:rRNA from 1 species